AGGAUUGACGUCAGGCCCAUGAGUGUCGCUCCAUCCCUCCUUCCACCGUCGGCCACUUCAACUGAUCAGUUGUUUAUAUCUUUUGUGAAAUUAGACGCCUGAUCUUCACUGCCAUAAUGCCGAUGGUGGCAGCCGGUUUGAUUGCAGAGGACCCGACAUCGCUGCCAAUCAGAAGACUUUACUUUGUAUGACCUCAGAUUAAAUCGUAUUGUGCUCAUACUUUUUCUCACAUCGCGCAAAUGCCGGUGUUUCUCUCAACAAAGUGUGUCAGUAGACAUAAAACUGCAUGAAUGACCGAGGUCAACAAUAACAUUGUGUAGCAUUUAAGUGGUAAGAGCUUUAAAUCAACCUAUGUACUACUUAAUAUGUAAGAUAACUGGCAAUACCUGGACAUUAUUAUGUUGAUUUAUGACCUCUCAGGAUUUUAUAGCUUCAUAAAAAGUCUCUAACUGCCAAUGUGUCACUUUAUAUUUUACAAGAAAAAAAUCAUGUGCCUAAUUUGGUGUUACUUUGCACAUGCUGCUGUAAUGUCAACACGUUUUCAUUACAAUGCUUUUUCCAAAUAGAGAAAAAGGGGUCAAUGCGUUCUCCAAAAACUUUAAACUGACAAGGAACACUUCUGUUAUUUAUGUUUAAGUGAUGUUAAGAUGAAUCUGAUUAUAUAGCAAAUGAUUGUUAAAGUAUGAUCAUCAGAGACUGUUUUAGAUAAUGUACUUAGGCCCAUAAUUGAUGAAAAAAAGGUACUGCAGAGAGGCACCUCACCCUGCGUUCCUUAUCCAACAAUAAUUGUGAGUAAUAUAAAAUAUUCUUUAACAACCGAUGUGAUCUGGGUUGCACCUGAGAAAUAAUGCUUGUUCAGAAUAAAGUCAUAUUUUUAUUUUU